rnacentral:tRNA from 1 species
GCGAGCGUUGCCAAGUGGUUAAGGCAGUGGGUUGUGGUUCCUCUAUGCGCGGGUUCGAUCCCCGUCGUUCGCC